rnacentral:rRNA from 1 species
ACUCUAACGGGACUGCCCGCCGAAAGCGGGAGGAAGGAGGGGACGACGUCUGGUCAGCAUGGCCCUUACGGCCUGGGCGACACACGUGCUACAAUGCCCACUACAAAGCGAUGCCACCCGGCAACGGGGAGCUAAUCGCAAAAAGGUGGGCCCAGUUCGGAUUGGGGUCUGCAACCCGACCCCAUGAAGCCGGAAUCGCUAGUAAUCGCGGAUCAGCCAUGCCGCGGUGAAUACGUUCCCGGGUCUU